GGUAGCGUGGCCGAGCGGUCUAAGGCGCAGGUUUUAGGCACUAGUCAUUUCGAUGGCGUGGGUUCGAAUCCCACCGCUGCCA
rnacentral:tRNA from 1 species